rnacentral:rRNA from 1 species
GAUGAACGCUGGCGGCGUGCUUAACACAUGCAAGUCGAACGAAGCACUUUAUUCGAUUUUCUUCGGAGAUGAAGAUUUAGUGUCUGAGUGGCGGACGGGUGAGUAACGCGUGGAUAACCUGCCUCACACUGGGGGAUAACAGUCAGAAAUGACUGCUAAUACCGCAUAAGCGCACAGUACCGCAUGGUAUGGUGUGAAAAACUCCGGUGGUGUGAGAUGGAUCCGCGUUUGAUUAGCCAGUUGGCGGGGUAACGGCCCACCAAAGCGACGAUCAAUAGCCGACCUGAGAGGGUGACCGGCCACAUUGGGACUGAGACACGGCCCAAACUCCUACGGGAGGCAGCAGUGGGGAAUAUUGCGCAAUGGGGGAAACCCUGACGCAGCGACGCCGCGUGAGCGAUGAAGUAUUUCGGUAUGUAAAGCUCUAUCAGCAGGGAAGAAUAAAUGACGGUACCUGACUAAGAAGCCCCGGCUAACUACGUGCCAGCAGCCGCAGUAA